rnacentral:misc_RNA from 1 species
CAACCCUCAAGCACUGCUUGGUGUUGGGGCACUGCUCCUCUCGCGGGGAGCAGGCCCUGAAAUUCAGUGGCGAGCUCGCCAGGACCCCGAGCGCAGUAGUUAACCCCUCGCUCUGGAAGGCCCUGGCGGUGCCCUGCCGUUAAACCCCCAACUCUUGAAA